CCUACGGGCGGCUGCAGUGGGGAAUAUUGCACAAUGGUGGAAACCCUGAUCCAGCGACGCCGCGUGAGUGAAGCAGUAAUUCAUUAUCUAAAGCCCUAUCAGCAGGGAAACAAAUAACGGUACCUGAGUAAGAAGCCCCGUCUAAAUGCAUGCCAGCAGCCUCGGUAAUACGUAGGGAGCAAGCGUUAUCCGGAUUUACUGGGUGUAAUGGGAGCGUAGGCGGCAGUGCCAGUCUGGAGUGAACGGCGGGGGGUCAACCCCCGGACUGCUCUGGAAACUGUACGGCUGGAGUGCAGGAGAGGUAAGUGGAAUUCCUGGUGUAGCGGUGAAAUGCGUAGAUAUUAGGAGGAACACCAGUGGCGAAGGCGGCUUACUGGACUGUAACUGACGUUGAGGCUCGAAAGCGUGGGGAGCGAACAGGAUUAGAUACCCGUGUAGUC
rnacentral:rRNA from 1 species